UACAGAGGGUGCUAGCGUUGUUCGGAAUCAUUGGGCGUAAAGAGCGCGCAGGCGGUCGUUCAAGUCGAGUGUGAAAGCCCCCGGCUCAACUGGGGAGGGUCACUCGAUACUGAUCGACUUGAAGGCAGGAGAGGGAAGCGGAAUUCCCGGUGUAGUGGUGAAAUGCGUAGAUAUCGGGAAGAACACCCGUGGCGAAGGCGGCUCUCUGGGACGGUACUGACGCUGAGACGCGAAAGCGUGGGGAGCGAACAGG
rnacentral:rRNA from 1 species